rnacentral:rRNA from 1 species
ACUCCUGCGGGAGGCAGCAGUGGGGAAUAUUGCACAAUGGGCGCAAGCCUGAUGCAGCCAUGCCGCGUGUAUGAAGAAGGCCUUCGGGUUGUAAAGUACUUUCAGCGGGGAGGAAGGCGAUAAGGUUAAUAACCUUGUUGAUUGACGUUACCCGCAGAAGAAGCACCGGCUAACUCCGUGCCAGCAGCCGCGGUAAUACGGAGGGUGCAAGCGUUAAUCGGAAUUACUGGGCGUAAAGCGCACGCAGGCGGUCUGUCAAGUCGGAUGUGAAAUCCCCGGGCUCAACCUGGGAACUGCAUUCGAAACUGGCAGGCUAGAGUCUUGUAGAGGGGGGUAGAAUUCCAGGUGUAGCGGUGAAAUGCGUAGAGAUCUGGAGGAAUACCGGUGGCGAAGGCGGCCCCCUGGACAAAGACUGACGCUCAGGUGCGAAAGCGUGGGGAGCAAACAGGAUUAGAAACCCCGGUAGUCCC